GACGAACGCUGGCGGCGUACUUAACACAUGCAAGUCGAACGGAAAGGCCCUGCUUUUGUGGGGUGCUCGAGUGGCGAACGGGUGAGUAACACGUGAGUAACCUGCCCUUGACUUUGGGAUAACUUCAGGAAACUGGGGCUAAUACCGGAUAGGAGCUCCUGCUGCAUGGUGGGGGUUGGAAAGUUUCGGCGGUUGGGGAUGGACUCGCGGCUUAUCAGCUUGUUGGUGGGGUAGUGGCUUACCAAGGCUUUGACGGGUAGCCGGCCUGAGAGGGUGACCGGCCACAUUGGGACUGAGAUACGGCCCAGACUCCUACGGGAGGCGGCAGUGGGGAAUAUUGCACAAUGGGCGGAAGCCUGAUGCAGCAACGCCGCGUGCGGGAUGACGGCCUUCGGGUUGUAAACCGCUUUCGCCUGUGACGAAGCGUGAGUGACGGUAAUGGGUAAAGAAGCACCGGCUAACUACGUGCCAGCAGCCGCGGUGAUACGUAGGGUGCGAGCGUUGUCCGGAUUUAUUGGGCGUAAAGGGCUCGUAGGUGGUUGAUCGCGUCGGAAGUGUAAUCUUGGGGCUUAACCCUGAGCGUGCUUUCGAUACGGGUUGACUUGAGGGAGGUAGGGGAGAAUGGAAUUCCUGGUGGAGCGGUGGAAUGCGCAGAUAUCAGGAGGAACACCAGUGGCGAAGGCGGUUCUCUGGGCCUUUCCUGACGCUGAGGAGCGAAAGCGUGGGGAGCGAACAGGCUUAGAUACCCUGGUAGUCCACGCUGUAAACGGUGGGUACUAGGUGUGGGGUCCAUUCCACGGGUUCCGUGCCGUAGCUAACGCUUUAAGUACCCCGCCUGGGGAGUACGGCCGCAAGGCUAAAACUCAAAGGAAUUGACGGGGCCCCGCACAAGCGGCGGAGCAUGCGGAUUAAUUCGAUGCAACGCGUAGAACCUUACCUGGGUUUGACAUGGAUCGGGAGUGCUCAGAGAUGGGUGUGCCUCUUUUGGGGUCGGUUCACAGGUGGUGCAUGGCUGUCGUCAGCUCGUGUCGUGAGAUGUUGGGUUAAGUCCCGCAACGAGCGCAACCCUUGUUCACUGUUGCCAGCACGUUAUGGUGGGGACUCAGUGGAGACCGCCGGGGUCAACUCGGAGGAAGGUGGGGAUGACGUCAAGUCAUCAUGCCCCUUAUGUCCAGGGCUUCACGCAUGCUACAAUGGCUGGUACAGAGAGUGGCGAGCCUGUGAGGGUGAGCGAAUCUCGGAAAGCCGGUCUCAGUUCGGAUUGGGGUCUGCAACUCGACCUCAUGAAGUCGGAGUCGCUAGUAAUCGCAGAUCAGCAACGCUGCGGUGAAUACGUUCCCGGGGCU
rnacentral:rRNA from 1 species